rnacentral:rRNA from 1 species
UGGGGAAUUUUGGACAAUGGGCGCAAGCCUGAUCCAGCCAUGCCGCGUGCGGGAAGAAGGCCUUCGGGUUGUAAACCGCUUUUGUCAGGGAAGAAAAGGUUCUGGCUAAUACCUGGGACUCAUUACGGUACCUGAAGAAUAAGCACCGGCUAACUACGUGCCAGCAGCCGCGGUAAUACGUAGGGUGCAAGCGUUAAUCGGAAUUACUGGGCGUAAAGCGUGCGCAGGCGGUUAUGCAAGACAGAGGUGAAAUCCCCGGGCUCAACCUGGGAACUGCCUUUGUGACUGAAUGUCUAGAGUACGGUAGAGGGGGAUGGAAUUCCGCGUGUAGCAGUGAAAUGCGUAGAUAUGCGGAGGAACACCGAUGGCGAAGGCAAUCCCCUGGACCUGUACUGACGCUCAUGCACGAAAGCGUGGGGUGCAAACAGG